GCAGGAGUCAGUCCUAGUCAGGACACAGCAUGGACAUGAGGGUCCCCGCUCAGCUCCUGGGGCUGCUGCUGCUCUGGCUGCCAGGUACCAGAUGUGACAUCCAGACGACUCAGUCUCCAUCCUCCCUGUCUGCAUCUCCUGGAGAUACAGUCACCAUCACUUGCAGAGCCAGUCAGAACAUUUACAGUGGUUUAAAUUGGUAUCAGCAGAAACCAGGGAAAGCUCCUAAACUCCUGAUCUAUGCUGCAAGCAAUUUGGUAUCUGGGGUGCCAUCCAGGUUUAGCGGCAGUGGAUCUGGGACAAGUUACACUCUCACCAUCAGCAGCCUGCAGCCUGAAGAUGUUGCAACUUACUACUGUGAACAAGGUUAUAGUACCCCGCCCACAGUGAUACAAGCCAUGACAUAA